GAUUAACGCUAGCGGCAGGCCUAAUACAUGCAAGUCGAACGGCAGCGGGUCCAGCAAUGGAUGCCGGCGAGUGGCGCACGGGUGCGUAACGCGUAUGCAACCUACCUUUGACUGGGGGAUAGCCCCGAGAAAUCGGGAUUAAUGCCCCAUAUUAUUAUGAAGUGGCAUCACUUUAUAAUUAAAGCUCCGGCGGUCUUAGAUGGGCAUGCGUGACAUUAGCUUGUUGGUGAGGUAACGGCUCACCAAGGCGACGAUGUCUAGGGGUUCUGAGAGGAUGUUCCCCCACACUUGUGCUGGGAAACGGACCAGACUCCUACGGGAGGCAGCAGGAAGGAAUAUUGGGCAAUGGGCGCAAGCCUGACCCAGGCAUGCCGCGUGAAGGAUGACGGCCCUAUGGGUUGUAAACUUCUUUUGUACGGGAAAAAACCCCCGGUCGUGAACCGGGGUUGAUGGUACCGUAAGAAUAAGCAUCGGCUAACUCCGUGCCAGCCGCCGCAGUAAUAC
rnacentral:rRNA from 1 species